CAGCUAGUUGGUAAGGUAAAGGCUUACCAAGGCUACGAUGUUUAGGGGAUCUGAGAGGAUGGCCCCCCACACUGGUACUGAGACACGGACCAGACUCCUACGGGAGGCAGCAGUAAGGAAUAUUGGUCAAUGGGCGGAAGCCUGAACCAGCCAUGCCGCGUGCAGGAAGACGGCCCUACGGGUUGUAAACUGCUUUUGCAGGGGAAUAAACCCCCGUACGUGUACGGGGCUGAAUGUACUCUGAGAAUAAGGAUCGGCUAACUCCGUGCCAGCAGCCGCGGUAAUACGGAGGAUCCAAGCGUUAUCCGGAUUUAUUGGGUUUAAAGGGUGCGUAGGUGGCUUUUUAAGUCAGGGGUGAAAGACGGUAGCUUAACUAUCGCAGUGCCUUUGAUACUGAAGAGCUUGAAUGAACUAGAGGUAGGCGGAAUGUGACAAGUAGCGGUGAAAUGCAUAGAUAUGUCACAGAACACCAAUUGCGAAGGCAGCUUACUAUGGUUUAAUUGACACUGAGGCACGAAAGCGUGGGGAUCAAACAGGAUUAGAUACCCUGGUAGUCCACGCCCCUAAC
rnacentral:rRNA from 1 species